GUACAAUUUGUGUACACGCUUCUACUUCUUCUCAGGAAGUAAGAAUCCUUCUGAUACCUUUGCGCUGGUUCAGUGCAGGCUUUACCUUUGACUUCAUUUGCUGCGGUCUCUGAGAAAAUGACCAAUGGACCGAUGUGUCCUAAAAUGGGAUGCUGGUCCGUGUUUAUAGAUCUGCAAUGCAUGCAUAUGUGGUGUGUGGCUUUAAUUAUAAAAACUGAGACCUAAGGUCUAGAGGUUUAGCUGAGUUUGAUUUGUAAGAAUUCAGUCACUGCUUAAUGCUACAGGCUAGGCUCUUUGGUCAGUUUGAUAUUAAAACCGGCAGUGAUUCUAUUUAAAAAUAAAUCAGUCUGCUUUCGCAGACUGCUGGUAGAAAUGUAAAAUGAUGCAGCUACUACGGAAAAUCGUAUGGAGCUUCCUCGAAAAGCAGAAAAUAGAACCACCCUACCAUCCAACAGUUCCUCUGCUGGGUAUUUACCUGAAAGUAUCGAGAGCAGGAUCUUGAAGCAGUAUUUGCCCACUCGUGUUCAACUGUAGCCUUAUUCGCAAUAGCCAAGAGAUGGUAGCAAGCCGAGUGUCCAUCGACAGAUGAAUGGAUGAAGAAAAUGUAAUGCGUACAUGUUGUGGAGUAUUACUCUUCCUGGAAAGGGAUGGAAUCCUGUCAUAUUCCACAACAUGAAUGAAUCUUAAGGACAUUAUCCUGAGUGAAAGAGGCCAGUCACAGAAGUAAAAUAUUAUAGGAUCCCACUUCGAUGGGGUAUCUAGAGUGGUCAGAACUAGAAAUGGAAGCAGAAUGCUUCUUGCCUGGGGCUUUGGGGCCAGAGGAAUGGAGAGUGUUGUUUAACAGGUAUAGAGUGAAUUUUAUAAGAUGAAAAAUUUCUAGAGAUGUUACCUAACCAUGUCAAUACAGUUAACAUUAUAAAAAUGUAUACUUAAAAAUGGUAAAGAGAGUAAAUUUUAUAGUGUUUUUUUGCCGCCGUUUAGAAAUUGAAAAACAAACAAACACAAAUCUGUUUGGCUAGGUGUUUGGCACGUUGCCUGAUUUGGUGACAUACGUUGUGGGUGGGGGAAGGAGUUGAGUCCCAGAAGCAAGCUCAAAUCUCAGAUGCGGACCUUAGCCCGUUGACUUCGGUAGGCUGUCUCAUCUUCUGUAUGUAAUUUCUCUAUCUGAAAUUAAAGAAAAUUAAUGGUCACCUUAAAGCGUUGCUGCGAUGAUCAAGUUAAUGUUUAUAAACUGGGUUGGAAUGAAGUUGGCCAGAAAUAAGUCCCAGAUAUUGCUGGGAUCACUCAGAGGUCUAACUAGUGCCAAACUUCUAACCAAGGAAUUAUCGUUGUCGACAUUUCAUGCGUUUGUUAUAAGGUGGGAGCAAGAGUGGGUAUCAAAGGCUAACAAAAAGGUGAUCUCGCUGUACACAGCGCCUUAUCUUGAAGCAAGAUGGUAGCUUGCCCCCACAGUCCUGUGUUUGCUCUGCACGAGAAUCCUGAUCUUGGUGUUUCCAAAACUGUCCCGAUAACCUGAAUUUGAUUCCUGAAGCUCCUUGGUUUAGUGAUUCACUUACUCACUGCGUUUGUCCACCCAGCAAAUACUGAGGUGCCUGUUGUGGGACAGACACCGUGAGGUAGUAGAGCAAGACUGCAAGACACUGUCCCUACCCUCGUGAGGCCAAUGGGCAGUGUGUCCCCUGUCCUCUGACCUGAAGACGCCCCAAUGUAGGUGCUCAGCAGGAGAUCCAAGCUGCUCUUUCCUGAUAACUAUUGCCCCUGAUAACAGUGUCUGUACCUUAAAAGAAACAAGCUUUCUAGAGAGGAGGAGUGAAGAAUGAUGAAGUUUGACCUCUAGAGGACUGUCUGACUGGGCAAGUAAAUUGAACAGAGCCUUUUUUGAAUUGGCUUUGCAUUAUUUAAUAAGAAGCCAUAACCAGUAUGCUAGAGCUGCCGCUUUAAAUGGCAGAGGUCUUCCGCUCAUACAAGCCAUUUAAAGAGGUUGUAAGCAAUAAAACCGAAUCAGUGCUUAUGCCCCUUGAUUACCAUGGAGAGCUACAGGAUCAUCUUGAGUAGAGAGCAUUUUUAUGAAGAAAAAUGAGGAAUACUAGAGCCAAGCAGGAAAGAGGAGUUUGAAGGGAUAUACCCUGAUAUCUAACUAGGGUUUUAGUGGGUAAGUGGAUUAGAAAUUCACUUAUUUCCCCCUCAAUAAAAUCAUCCAUGCCCGACAAAAUUCCUUUUUGGUUAUUUUGCAUCGUUUACCGAACACUCACUUGCAGUUUUAAUACAGUGAGAGGAGAAAAGGGUAUCUGGGGAACUCGGGCCCCAGGUUUAUGGGGCAUCUAGUGGCACCAGGGUGAAGAAACAUAAAAACUCUUCUGGAUGAAAUGAUCAAGAUAGGGAAUAAUGUAGAAUGCAACUUUACAUGCUAUGCAAAUUCAAGAUGCAAUUUGGUUUCUCUGCCGAAAGGCCGUCCCAUUUUGAAUAAGAUGCAGACUCCUUUCUCCCAUCCAUUCAGUUUUAGCUGGAAUUUUCUUUUCUCCUGUGCUCUGUGAGUGGCGUGUGAACGUGAAGAAGACAGAAACAGAGCACAGAGAAGCCUGUCCUGCUUGUGUUGUUGUCUCACAGGGAGUGGGGGGAGGGUGGGAUGUCCGUUGGGCACAGGCUGAAUUCCUGGCAGACCGUAUGGAAGAAAGUGUAGUACAUACCCCAGAUAUGUAAACUAUUUUGUGUUCUUCUCAUCAAAGCUUCCCUUCUCUCUGGCUGAAAUGACUGAGUGGUGCUUGGGUGUGUGGGUGAAGGGAGGGAGCCAGCCGAAAUGUCAGAAAGCGCUGGGGACGAACCUAAAAACAGAAAACAAAAUUGUUCAUAAAUGCAAGUUUUAACUACUCAAGCCAGUAGCUCUUAGGAACAUAAAUAUUGUUAUCUACUGAUCCACCUCCUACCAGGCCUCACUCAGGUUGGGGCUACCUUGUACCAGCAACAGUCUACCCUGUUGUAUACAAGCCCCCAGGUUUAGAGACAGGAAAACAUCUCCGGAUUUCACGUUAGGGACUGGCACUCCCUGGGAUCUGGUUUGCUCCCUCUGUCCCCUGCGUGGGCUGCUGAGCUAUUAAAGGACUCAGAUUAAAGGCAGACUCUUAGAGCUCUUUUAUUUAAGCAAGUAAACAUGAAUUAUGGUCAGAGUAGUUUAGUUAGGACCUGAGCGAGGUCUUAGCAGCUGGAAAAGCAAGUGAGAGUGCAUUUUAUUUUACCUCAGUGACCUGAUCUUGAGUCUUAAGGGUGACUUGCAAGUCAAGUUGCGACCUUAGGCAAGUUCACCCUCUUGAGUCUCAGUUUCUGUGCCAGCACGGGUGAGGAGUUGUUCCAGAUGAUUUUACAAGCUCUCCCAUGUGGAAGGACAUUGGAUAUCGCACCUGUAAGAAUAAUUAGUUACUGUAAAAUUUAAGAUGGUUAUGUACAUUAGGUUGGUGUUACCAACCUAAGAGACCUCAGCCUCCAUCCCCCAGCAAAGAUCAGCAUUUAGGCAGCUAUCCACAAAGAAAAGCAGAGAGCUUAAGGAGUCUGCUUCAGAAUCUCCAGUGACUCACUGGUGGGGAGGUGGGGGGGGUCGGGGUGGGGGGAAGGGACCCUGAGAAUAAUUGCGUAAGAAGGGAAGGAAGACCAGCUUCAUUUUGCCUGCAUCGUCUGAGCCAACCUGGGAAUGCCUCAGCCUGAGAGAGCUUCCCUCACCAGGAAAGGGAGAGUCCGGCGAAAGGAAGGAACAAGGAAACGUAGGGGCUUCCAGGACCAGCCAUGUGGCAGGAGUGACUGGCUCCCAGUGACCUGCUUUGCAGAAGACCUUAGCAGCUUUCUCACUGCUGCGGGCCUCCUGUGGAUUUCCCUGGGUUUUAUUCACAUUCAAAGUCUCCAGACUCCUGAGUCCCUCCCUUCCCUGUCCCUGCCCAUACCCCACCCUCACCUACCUCCACCCCCUGCUGCUGGAGCCAGGGGUCCACACCAGCAGCCAGCCCAGGCCUCUGGGGCUGCACAGGUACAAGAUGGCAGCCUGGACCCCCUGUGGACCCCCAUCACCAUGUGUACACUGGGGCCAGCCCCUCCCCACACUGACCUGACCCCUACCCCAGGCUCCACUGCUGUCCACAUGUCUGUGGCAGAUCACAAUGAGACAGGGCCUUACAGCAGUUUGUGGGGCUGAAUUUGUCUCUGCUCCAGUCACUGGCUUUCCCCACUUGGCACACAUUCAAGGAACCUUCUAGCUGUGCACCUGUGUGCCCCAACCAGACCUUCAUUAGUGGCAUCCAAACAAGGUACACACCUGUUGGGGGGGGCACCCACAGCCAUAGGGGUGCACGCUAAGGGCAGGGCCCCCACAGCCGUUUGAGGGCUGGAUCUGGCCCUGUCUCCCAUCACUGGCCUGUGCCACUCAGCUCACCUAUGGCUGGUCUUUCAAGCUGUGUACCUGCCUGCCCCUUACCUGACCCCCCACGCUGGUCUCCUCUGCAGGGUGCCCACUGUGGGGAGGCCUGGCAGCCCCAGUAAGACACACGGACAACCACGGUCCCCACAGCCGCUGGUACACCUGCAGCUGGACCAGGCCUUUGGAGCUGGGCCUGGUCCCCCCACUCUGUGUAUGUUUGAAACCAGCCCCCGCCACUACCUAGACCCACAGCGGGCCCCUACUGCGGUGUGCACACCACCAGCUCCGGCCCCCAUCACUGCCCACCCCAGCCCCCAGCCACUGGCCCUGGAGGUGCCACUGAGGACCCCCCACAGUGCUCGCCAGGAACCACAGAGUUGUCAGUGUUGUGAACCUGAGUGGCCUGAGCAGAUGAGACAUCAUACACCUCUGGGACACACCGGCAUUUGGCACUCUACGCCCUAGGCCUGGGCUCAUGGCACAUUCCACCACAUCCCUACCCACAGGUGAAGGUCUUUCCAUAGCAAAGUCAACCCAUAAAGUCUGGAAGAGGUGACUGGUUCUUUAAAUGUGCAGAUAUCUGUAUGCAAGGUUACGGGGAUCUUGAAGAAUCAGGACAACACAGUACCCCCAAAGGAACACAGUAAACUUCUAGAAUGGACCCCGGAGAGAUGGCAAUACAGGAAUUGCCUGACAAAGGAUUCAAAAUAAUUGUUCUAAAGAUGCUCAGAGAGCUACAAGAAAACAUAGUAAAACAAUUUAAUGAAAUUAGGAGCAAAAACAACAAGAACAAAAUGGAAAGAGAUAGAAAAUAUAAAAAUUAGAAAAUAGGAAAAGAUAAAAAAAGAAAAUCAAGCAGAAAUUUGGAGCUAAAGAAGACAGUAAUGGAACCAAAGACCACAAUAGAGUGUUCCAUUAGCAGACCAGACCAAGCAGAUGCAAAGGCCUUUGCACUUAUCUAGGCACAGGAGCAAAAGGGAAAAGAGUGAAAAGGAAUGACAAAAACCUGCAGGACUAAAAAGGCACCACUAUGUGAAAACAAUCUACCCAUUAUUGAGUCCCAGAAGGAGAAGAGCAACUUACUGAGGACUUAACAAAUUAAGUCCAGACAAAUUUGGAGAGUUGUAAGGGUCAGGAGGGGGAAGAAACUAGACAAAGAGGUGCCCCUGGGAACAGAAAUUGGAUUUUUUUAAGAAAAAAUAUUAAAGAAAAAGUAGCCAGUGGUUUUAUGCAAAAAAA